GAUGAACGCUAGCGGCAGGCCUAACACAUGCAAGUCGAGGGAGAAGCCCUUUCGGGGGCAGAAACCGGCGCACGGGUGCGUAACGCGUAUGCAACCUACCUUUCACAGGGGGAUAGCCCGAAGAAAUUUGGAUUAAUACCCCAUAAUAUUAUUGGAUGGCAUCAUUUGAUAAUUAAAACUGCGGUGGUGAAAGAUGGGCAUGCGUCCUAUUAGCUAGUUGGAGUGGUAACGGCACCCCAAGGCUACGAUAGGUAGGGGUCCUGAGAGGGAGAUCCCCCACACUGGUACUGAGACAUGGACCAGACUCCUACGGGAGGCAGCAGUGAGGAAUAUUGGUCAAUGGUCGGAAGACUGAACCAGCCAUGCCGCGUGCAGGAAGAAUGCCUUAUGGGUUGUAAACUGCUUUUAGAUGGGAAGAAUAAGGCGUACGUGUACGUUGAUGACGGUACCAUAUGAAUAAGCAUCGGCUAACUCCGUG
rnacentral:rRNA from 1 species